rnacentral:lncRNA from 1 species
UACCGGUACAGAGUCAAUGUGGAGGCUAUAUACAGGGGGUACCGGUAAAGAGUCAAUGUGGAGGCUAUAUACAGGGGGGUACCAGUACAGAGUCAAUGUGGAGGCUAUAUACAGGGGGUACUGGUACAGAGUCAAUGCGGAGGCUAUAUACAGGGGGUACCAGUACAGAGUCAAUGUGGAGGCUAUAUACAGGGGGUACCGUUACAGAGUCAAUGUGGAGGCUAUAUACAGGGGGUACCGGAACAGAGUCAAUGUGGAGGCUAUAUACAGGGGCUACCGGUACAGAGUCAAUGUGGAGGCUAUAUACAGGGGGAACCGGUACAGAGUCAAUGUGGAGGCUAUAUACAUUGGAUUCCGGUACAGAGUCAAUGUGGAGGCCAAAUACAGGGGGUACCGGUACAGAGUCAAUGUGGAGGCUAUAUACAGGGGAUACCGGUACAGAGUCAAUGUGGAGGCUAUAUACAGGGGGGUACCAGAACAGAGUCAAUGUGGAGGCUAUAUACAGGGGGAACCGGUACAGAGUCAAUGUGGAGGCUAUAUACAUUGGAUUCCGGUACAGAGUCAAUGUGGAGGCUAUAUACAGG